UACGUAGGGGGCAAGCGUUGUCCGGAAUCAUUGGGCGUAAAGAGCGUGUAGGCGGCCAGAAAAGUCCGCUGUGAAAACUCGAGGCUCAACUUCGAGCUGUCGGUGGAAACUUUCUGGCUAGAGUCCGGAAGAGGAGAAUGGAAUUCCUGGUGUAGCGGUGAAAUGCGCAGAUAUCAGGAAGAACACCCGUGGCGAAGGCGGUUCUUUGGGACGGUACUGACGCUGAGACGCGAAAGCGUGGGGAGCGAACAGG
rnacentral:rRNA from 1 species